GAACCGAAAAACGAAGCCGCCUUCGGUUUGAUUUUGAAGGCGGCAAAUAACCGCAAUUCCGUGGAGUUACAGUGCCCACUCAGCUAGUUUUUACCGAGCCACGACGUGCAAUAAGCACCGAAAUGGUACGUGCAAAUAUAUAUUAUAUAUUUCAAAUAAAAUGAUGAGCAAAAGGCAUUUGCGUAGACUCCGUAAGAGUGAAAGGGAAGCUAACAUUGCAAAGUUAGCGUUGUGCAGGAAAGAUAACAGAUAACAGCAAUGAAAUCGAUUCUCCAGCCAGCUGGCGUUUUGAGCGGCUUAAACUUUAUUUUGAGUGAGGAAAUUGUUCUAGCCUAUAACGUAAGGGAAGAAGGCCCUUAGGACCCACAAAGAAUUUUUUGCAGCUUUGCUAGAAUGUAUUCCGCCUGGCGAUGAGCCCCCCGAAAACACUGUGCGGAAGGCAAUGCAAAGGAUGAAGAAAAGGGUGUUUAAGAAGAAGUGUCUUGCCAAAAACCAGGAGUAGGCUAAGCAUCAUAUAAUUAAAAAUUAUUCGUUAUAAUGAAA